GACGAACGCUGGCGGCGUGCUUAACACAUGCAAGUCGAACGGAAAGGCCCUGCUUGCAGGGUACUCGAGUGGCGAACGGGUGAGUAACACGUGGGUGAUCUGCCCUGCACUUCGGGAUAAGCCUGGGAAACUGGGUCUAAUACCGGAUAGGAGCCAUUUUAGUGUGAUGGUUGGAAAGUUUUUUCGGUGUAGGAUGAGCUCGCGGCCUAUCAGCUUGUUGGUGGGGUAAUGGCCUACCAAGGCGGCGACGGGUAGCCGGCCUGAGAGGGUGGACGGCCACAUUGGGACUGAGAUACGGCCCAGACUCCGACGGGAGGCAGCAGUGGGGAAUAUUGCACAAUGGGCGCAAGCCUGAUGCAGCGACGCCGCGUGGGGGAUGACGGCCUUCGGGUUGUAAACUCCGUUCGCUAGGGACGAAGCUUUUUGUGACGGUACCUAGAUAAGAAGCACCGGCUAACUACGUG
rnacentral:rRNA from 1 species